rnacentral:lncRNA from 1 species
UUUUUUUUUUGGUUUCCUUCUCCUACACAUCCAGCAUAAUGCUACCAUGAAGUUAGUAUUUUAGUACUUUUUGUUUUAAUCUUAUCCUAUGAUAAUCAAAUAUUUAUGUUAUUGCUAUGGUUUGGUGUUUGUACUUUGUAAAUAUAAAAUUACCAAGAUAUUGUUCUGGGGCUUGAUCAAGUUGUUCUACACGUCAGUUCUAAAAGAUUAAAACACAAUCUUAUUCAGUCCAUUCAUAGGAGUAACAAUCAUUUCCAAUUUGUCGAAUUAGAUCUUGUAAAGCCUUUUGAAUUGGCUAUGUUAUUCAAGUACAUUCAUAGAAGCAGGAUCAAGUUUCUACACAUACUACUCCAUUAAAAGUACCCUUAGUUUGAGUUUAAGGCAGCUUUUAGUUUCUCAAACUUCUUGAAACCUUCUGCAAGUUUCUCAGAUUCUGGUAUGAAAUCCUUUACUGCUUUGUUUGCACAAAAUCUUUCAGUCCAUGCCACUAAUUGAGGAAUCUUGUUUUCAUCAAAUAUUUUUGUGGAAGUUAAAUUCUCUUCAGCUUUAAGCCAUCCCAAUAAACUGCCAAGAACAAUGUCUAGGUAACCAAUGCUAUCUCCACCAAAGAAAGAUUUGGCUUUGCUACAACUGAUAAAAGCUUCCUCUAGCAGCAAUGUCCCUUCGACCACUUUGUCUCUCGCCGCUGCCUUUGCUUCUUCUCCCUCUGCCUUCCUAUACUCUGCUGUUAAAGGAAACCACUGCAUACAAAUUUCUUGAUCAUUUAGAUGACAAGCAGACGUGGACCCAAGAUUUGAAGAUCGCCGGUGUACUUUUGGAUUCAACCAAAAACUGCUUUGUAUAUAGGGUACCACUGCUAAUAUAUCACUAUUUUUUAAAAACAUAUACAUGUAUACAUGGAAUUUUUGCCGAACUUUACGGGUGCCAAUGACCCCUCUUGCUAUAGCAUAGGUCCACCUCUGAUGACAAGAUAAUUAUCAACAUGAAUAGGAAAAAACUAUACAUCUGAACUCAAAAAGGACCUGCUUGCAACUUCACAUCAAAAUCUUUUGUAGCUUCAGCAGGAAAGUUAUGAAGAUAAAAACCUCUACUUGGACUCAAAUAGCAAAAACAAAAAAGAAAAAUGAGCAAAAUAGGCUGUUUUUAUAAUGAAUACUUACUUUUUCAUCAAUAUAGGCUGCCCAAAACCGGGCAAUGGCACAUUCAUAAGGAUCAGAAGGAAGAAUGGAGGGACUAUUAGGCCAGGCUUCAUCGAUAUAUUGCACGAUGAGGAGAGACUCACAGAUAGGCUUUUCCGCAUGGAAGAGAACUGGGACUUUCUUACUAACAGGGUUUGAUUUGAGGAGAAGCUCACUUUUCUUGAACGGAUCCUCUUCAAUGAAUUCAUGGUCGAUGGACUUCAAGCUUAGAGCCAUUUGAACCCGAUUCACAAAAGGACAUCCGUUUCUUCCCAGAAGCUUUACAUUGCUGGUUGCCAUAGCCAACUAAUGAACUAGGAAGUAAAGCAAUUUAACACAGAAUUAGGCACCCUUUUAUGAUGGUCUAAUGGUCAUGGACAGUUUUGGAGUUAAAUAUGCCCCCUUAGACCUCUUCAGAUAAACAAUGCAGGAAUCAACAAGAUUCUCUUUGCCGGCGAAAACAAUAUUAAGCAUCUAUGGCGAACAAAUUAAUCAUAAAGACGGCAAGCUGUAUCGCUAUAUGUGUCAUGAAUCUAGUUCUUUUUCAUUUUUGGCCUAUAGUUUUUCAUAAUUUUAGUGAAUCACAAGAUGAGUGGAAUCUGAAUCUUCAAUUAUAGUCGGAUAAUAAGCUAGUAAUACUAUAAUCUGAAUCUUCAAUUAUAGUCGGACAUUAUACACGUAUAUAAGAGAAAAAAUGAAAUCACUUUUUACCAUCACCACAAGAGUUAAUUCCUUCUCCUAACUUAAUCUUCCCUGCUGCUUAAGGCACCCUAUCAAGAUUUUUUCCAUACAUUCCAGCUCUGUUAUUGUUAGCCAAUUUCUGAAUUCAGUUCGAUAUACAACAUUUUCAGUUUCAAAAAACUGAAACAAACAUCAAAUAGGCACCAGUUAGAAUUAAUCAACACACACUAGUUCUUGGCUUCAAGCACUCAUUUCUGAAUAGUUAAUUUAUUACAUAUUUUAGGCUCCUUCAAAUAUCAAAAUGUUGUUCUCAUAAUAUAUCCUCUUAGCUAGAGAUUGAAAAUAGUUACCAAGACUUGAAAGUCUAAAUACAUCUUGUAAGAAGAAGACGGUACGGAUUUAGCUAGAUGCUUGGGCUCUAAUUUUGGCCAUAAUGACCUUA